UGCGCAGGCGGCUUUGCAAGACAGAGGUGAAAUCCCCGGGCUCAACCUGGGAACUGCCUUUGUGACUGCAAGGCUAGAGUACGGCAGAGGGGGAUGGAAUUCCGCGUGUAGCAGUGAAAUGCGUAGACAUGCGGAGGAACACCAAUGGCGAAGGCAAUCCCCUGGGCCUGUACUGACGCUCAUGCACGAAAGCGUGGGAGCAAACA
rnacentral:rRNA from 1 species